UGGGGAGUGGCCAAGUGGUUAAGGCUGCGGCCUUUGGAGCCGCCAUUCGCAGGUUCGAAUCCUGCCUCCCCAG
rnacentral:tRNA from 1 species